UACGUAGGCAGCGAGCGUUGUUCGGAGUUACUGGGCGUAAAGAGUGCGUAGGCGGUUUUCUAAGUUUGGUGUGAAAUCUCCCGGCUUAACUGGGAGGGUGCGCCGAAAACUGGAAGGCUUGAGUAUGGGAGAGGUAAGCGGAAGUUCCUGGUGUAGCGGUGAAAUGCGUAGAUAUCAGGAGGAACACCUGCGGUGUAGACGGCUUACUGGACCAUAACUGACGCUGAGGCACGAAAGCGUGGGUAGCAAACAGG
rnacentral:rRNA from 1 species